CAGCCGCCGCGGGAAUACAGAGGAUGCAAGCGUUAUCCGGAAUGAUUGGGCGUAAAGCGUCUGUAGGUGGCUUUUCAAGUCCGCCGUCAAAUCCCAGGGCUCAACCCUGGACAGGCGGUGGAAACUACCAAGCUAGAGUACGGUAGGGGCAGAGGGAAUUUCCGGUGGAGCGGUGAAAUGCGUUGAGAUCGAAAAGAACACCAACGACGAAAGCACUCUGCUGGGUCGACGCUGACACUGAGAGACGAAAGCUAGGGGAGCAAAUGGGAUUAGAUACCCCAGUAGUCCCUGUCUCUUAUAC
rnacentral:rRNA from 1 species